CCUAAAAUUGAAAACGAAAAUCAAAAUGAAACACAACGGUAAAGGUAACUGAAGGCAGUAAGAAAUCAGGAAAAUGAAGUCGUUGCGGAAACGAAAGCGGAAACGGAAGUGGAAACGAAAGUGGCCGAAGCUAGGAGUCUAGUGGUAGACGGGCUUGUGAAACGGAUAGGGCGAUCCGUUGAUCACUUUCAGAUAGUGCUGCAGCUGCGAUAUCUCUUCAUCGUCGAUCAGCAGCACCUUCAGGCAAUCCCCGAAGGUCUCGUGGACGAAACAAUUGGCCCUGCAUCGAAUAGACAAGAAGACAGAUGUGACUAUAUAGGGUGGAACAUAAGAAAGAGAGAGAGAUAUAGACCAAAUGGAAGAAACCGAAUAGGCAGCGGUCUCUGUGCGAGAAAGUCGAGGAGAAAGUAGCGGGGAAAGCGCCCAUAAAGUUCACAAACAACCGAAGGUCCCGCGAGCAUUUUCCGAUACCCCGGCAUUUGUAUUUGUGUCAGGGUCUGCCAGCACUUAAGAUCAUAAUUAGUGUUUCUUGGACGGCCUUGCCUUGAACGCUGUAAGGAACACUGCUGCUGCUUUGGGGUUUUGUUAGAUAUACAUACAUAUGUGCGUAUGGAUGGGGCUGUGGGACCCUAGGGAAACUUACUUGCAUAAUCGGUGUAUACUCGUCUCGCGGAACAACUGGUAGCAGUCCUCGCAGAUGCGGUCCAGUCGGAAGAACAUGGUCUUGUUGAAGA